GAUGAACGCUGGCGGCGUGCCUAAUACAUGCAAGUCGAGCGAACAGACGAGGAUCUUGCUCCUCUGACGUUAGCGGCGGACGGGUGAGUAAUACGUGGAUAACCUACCUAUAAGACUGGGAUAACUUCGGGAAACCGGAGCUAAUACCGUAUAAUAUAUUGAACCGCAUGGUUCAAUAGUGAAAGACGGUUUUGCUGUCACUUAUAGAUGGAUCCGCGCCGCAUUAGCUAGUUGGUAAGGUAACGGCUUACCAAGGCAACGAUGCGUAGCCGACCUGAGAGGGUGAUCGGCCACACUGGACAUGAGACACGGUCCAGACUCCUACGGGAGGCAGCAGUAGGUAAUCUUCCGCAAUGGGCGAAAGCCUGACGGAGCAACGCCGCGUGAGUGAUGAAGGUCUUCGGAUCGUAAAACUCUGUUAUUAGGGAAGAACAAAUGUGUAAGUAACUAUGCACGUCUUGACGGUACCUAAUCAGAAAGCCACGGCUAACUACGU
rnacentral:rRNA from 1 species